rnacentral:misc_RNA from 1 species
GAAAUGCGAUAAGUAGUGUGAAUUGCAGAAUUCAGUGAAUCAUCGAAUCUUUGAACGCACAUUGCGCCCCUUGGUAUUCCAUGGGGCAUGCCUGUUCGAGCGUCAUUUGUACCUUCAAGCUUUGCUUGGUGUUGGGUGUUUGUCUCGCCUCUGCGUGUAGACUCGCCUCAAAACAAUUGGCAGCCGGUGUAUUGAUUUCGGAGCGCAGUACAUCUCGCGCUUUGCACUCAUAACGACGACGUCCAAAAGUACAUUUUUACACUCUUGACCUCGGAUCAGGUAGGGAUACCCGCUGAACUUAAGC